AAGUCGUAACAAGGUUUCCGUAGGUGAACCUGCGGAAGGAUCAUUAACUAGUAUUGAAGUCCACGGGGAUCAGGCUUUCCGAAAGGAGGGUGGGGGGAUGUUUGGUUCCCCCUGCUUGGGCAGACUGGAGAGCAUUGUGUAGCCACUUUUGUUGGCUACGUUAUGUUUGGCCUCUGCUGAUCGAGCUUGUCACCUGAAUUCUACUACCCUUGCUUUUCGCGCACCCAUUGUUUCCUCGGUAGGCUUGCCUGCCAGUAGGACCAUUUAAAACCCUUUGUGAUUGCAAUCAGCGUCAGAAACAACGUAAUCGUUACAACUUUCAACAACGGAUCUCUUGGUUCUG
rnacentral:misc_RNA from 1 species